GCCCCAGUAGCUCAGCCAGGUUAGAUCGCUUCCUUGGUAAGGUGGGACGCGAAUUCAAAUCUCGCCUGGGGC
rnacentral:tRNA from 1 species